rnacentral:rRNA from 1 species
AUUGAACGCUGGCGGCAGGCCUAACACAUGCAAGUCGCACGAGUGGCGGACGGGUGAAUAAUGUCUGGUAAACUGCCUGAUGGAGGGGGAUAACUCCUGGAAACGGUAGCUAAUACCGCAUACCAUCGGAUGUGCCCCGUUGCGAUUAGCUAGUAGGUGGGGCAAAGGCUCACCUAGGCGACGAUCCCUAGCUGGUCUGAGUGGAUGACCAGCCACGCUGGAACUGAGACACGGUCCAGACUCCUACGGGGGGCAGCAGUGGGGAAUAUUGCACAAUGGGCGAAAUACUGAUGCAGCCAUGACGCGUGUAUGAAGAAGGCCGUCGGGUUGUAAAGUACUUUCAGCGGGGAGGCGUUACCCGCAGAAGAAGCACCGGCUAACUCCGUGCCAGCAGCCGCGGUAAUAC